rnacentral:rRNA from 1 species
GAGGAAUAUUGGUCAAUGGACGGAAGUCUGAACCAGCCAAGUAGCGUGCAGGAUGACGGCCCUAUGGGUUGUAAACUGCUUUUGUAUGGGGAUAAAGUUAGGGACGUGUCCCUAUUUGCAGGUACCAUACGAAUAAGGACCGGCUAAUUCCGUGCCAGCAGCCGCGGUAAUACGGAAGGUCCAGGCGUUAUCCGGAUUUAUUGGGUUUAAAGGGAGCGUAGGCUGGAGAUUAAGUGUGUUGUGAAAUGUAGACGCUCAACGUCUGAAUUGCAGCGCAUACUGGUUUCCUUGAGUACGCACAACGUUGGCGGAAUUCGUCGUGUAGCGGUGAAAUGCUUAGAUAUGACGAAGAACUCCGAUUGCGAAGGCAGCUGACGGGAGCGCAACUGACGCUUAAGCUCGAAGGUGCGGGUAUCAAACAGGAUUAGAUACCCUGGUAGUCCGCACAGUAAACGAUGGAUGCCCGCUGUUGGUACUUGGUAUCAGCGGCUAAGCGAAAGCAUUAAGCAUCCCACCUGGGGAGUACGCCGGCAACGGUG